rnacentral:rRNA from 1 species
GGAGAGUUUGAUCCUGGCUCAGGAUGAACGCUAGCGGCAGGCCUAAUACAUGCAAGUCGAGGGGUAACAGGUGUAGCAAUACAUGCUGACGACCGGCGCACGGGUGCGUAACACGUAUAUAAUCUACCUUUUACUGGAGAAUAGCCCGAAGAAAUUCGGAUUAAUACUCCAUAAUAAUAUUGAGGGGCAUCUCUUGAUAUUUAAAGUUCAGACGGUAAAAGAGGAGUAUGCGCGAUAUUAGCUAGUUGGUGAGGUAACGGCUCACCAAGGCGACGAUAUCUAGGGGUACUGAGAGGUUACACCCCCACACUGGUACUGAGACACGGACCAGACUCCUACGGGAGGCAGCAGUAAGGAAUAUUGGACAAUGGUCGCAAGACUGAUCCAGCCAUGCCGCGUGCAGGAUGACUGCCCUAUGGGUUGUAAGCUGCUUUUAUACGGGAAUAAACCCGGGUACGUGUACCCGGCUGAAUGUACUGUAAGAAUAAGGGUCGGCUAACUUCGUGCCAGCAGCCGCGGUAAGACGAAGGACCCAAGCGUUAUCCGGAUUCAUUGGGUUUAAAGGGUGCGUAGGCGGGUUGAUAAGUCAGUGGUGAAAGCCCAACGCUUAACGUUGGAACUGCCAUUGAUACUGUCGAUCUUGAAUGUGUUUGAUGUGGGCGGAAUAUGACAUGUAGCGGUGAAAUGCUUAGAUAUGUCAUAGAACACCGAUUGCGAAGGCAGCUCACAAAGCCACUAUUGACGCUGAGGCACGAAAGCGUGGGGAUCAAACAGGAUUAGAUACCCUGGUAGUCCACGCCGUAAACUUUGAUCACUCGCUGUUAGCGAUACACUGUCAGCGGCUAAGCGAAAGCGUUAAGUGAUCCACCUGGGGAGUACGGUCGCAAGACUGAAACUCAAAGGAAUCGACGGGGGCCCGCACAAGCGGUGGAGCAUGUGGUUUAAUUCGAUGAUAGGCGAGGAACCUUACCAGGGCUUGAAAGUUAGCGACUUACCGUGAAAGCGGUGAUCCCUUCGGGGCGCGAAACUAGGUGCUGCAUGGCUGUCGUCAGCUCGUGCCGUGAGGUGUUGGGUUAAGUCCCGCAACGAGCGCAACCCCUACUUCUAGUUGCCAACAGGUAAUGCUGGGGACUCUAGAGGAACUGCCCGCGCAAGCGGUGAGGAAGGUGGGGACGACGUCAAGUCAUCACGGCCCUUACGUCCUGGGCUACACACGUGCUACAAUGGCGGAGACAACGGGCAGCUACACUGCGAAGUGAUGCUAAUCUCUAAACUCCGUCUCAGUUCGGAUUGAAGUCUGCAACUCGACUUCAUGAAGCUGGAAUCGCUAGUAAUCGCGUAUCAGCAAUGACGCGGUGAAUACGUUCCCGGGCCUUGUACACACCGCCCGUCAAACAAUGGAAGCUGGGAGUACCUAAAGUCAGUAGUCGCAAGACGCUGCCUAGGGUAAAACCGGUAACUGGUGUUAAGUCGUAACAAGGUAGCCGUACCGGAAGGUGCGGCUG